UACAGAGGUGGCAAGCGUUGUUCGGAAUCACUGGGCGUAAAGCGCACGUAGGCGGACUCUUAAGUCGGUGGUGAAAUCCUGGAGCUCAACUCCAGAACUGCCUUCGAUACUGAGAGUCUCGAGUCCGGGAGAGGUGAGUGGAACUGCGAGUGUAGAGGUGAAAUUCGUAGAUAUUCGCAAGAACACCAGUGGCGAAGGCGGCUCACUGGCCCGGUACUGACGCUGAGGUGCGAAAGCGUGGGGAGCAAACAGG
rnacentral:rRNA from 1 species